rnacentral:rRNA from 1 species
AACGAACGCUGGCGGCAGGCUUAACACAUGCAAGUCGAGCGCCCCGCAAGGGGAGCGGCAGACGGGUGAGUAACGCGUGGGAAUCUACCCAUCCCUACGCAAUAGCUCCGGGAAACUGGAAUUAAUACCGUAUACGCCCUACGGGGGAAAGAUUUAUCGGGGAUGGAUGAGCCCUCGUUGGAUUAGUUAGGUGGUGGGGUCAAGGCCUACCAAGGCGACGAUCCAUAGCUGGUCUGAGAGGAUGAUCAGCCACAUUGGGACUGAGACACGGCCCAAACUCCUACGGGAGGCAGCAGUGGGGAAUAUUGGACAAUGGGGGCAACCCUGAUCCAGCCAUGCCGCGUGAGUGAUGAAGGCCUUAGGGUUGUAAAGCUCUUCACCGAUGAAGAUAAUGACGGUAGUCGGAGAAGAAGCCCCGGCUAACUUCGUGCCAGCAGCCGCCGUAA